rnacentral:rRNA from 1 species
UACGGAGGGAGCUAGCGUUGUUCGGAAUUACUGGGCGUAAAGCGUACGUAGGCGGCUUGGUAAGUCAGAGGUGAAAGCCCACGACUCAAUCGUGGAACUGCCUUUGAGACUGCUUCGCUUGAAGAUGGGAGAGGUUAGUGGAAUUCCGAGUGUAGAGGUGAAAUUCGUAGAUAUUCGGAGGAACACCAGUGGCGAAGGCGGCUCACUGGCUCGAUACUGACGCUGAGGUGCGAAAGCGUGGGGAGCAAACAGG